rnacentral:piRNA from 1 species
UAUCAGUUGUGUUACUACAUGUCCAAAUCCU